rnacentral:rRNA from 1 species
CCCUUAGUUAUCCUAGGUCGCACGCGCCAUACAAUGUGGCGCACAACGAGUCUCCUUGGCCGACAGGAUGUCCCGCGAGCGAUCGGCGACGCAGCCAGCUCGGUCUUCGGGCAGACUCGGUGAGAGUGGCCCGUCCUCCUGAGAGGGCGAUCGUCGAUGCCUCGGGAUUCUGGGCAAUCUGGCAGAGCGCUACGUGACUGGGCUAGACUUUUGUAAUUUUUGGUCUUGAACGAGGAUGCCUAGUAAUCGCAGGUCAGCAUCCUGCGAUGAUUCGGUCCCUGCCCUUUGUACACACCGCCCGUCGCUCCAUCCGUGGCAUGCGCCGGUGAAGAGGGGGAGGCAGCGUCGGCCGUGUAACAGCGGAUCGUACGUGGAACCCCUCUGAACCUUCGCACGUAGAGGAAGGAGAAGUCGUAACA